GUAUGUGCAAUAUCUUCGUACUGAUUUUGUACAUUCGCAACAAGCAAAGUGUCUCUUCUGUUUGUUUGGUGUGUCUUCAUGUUGUGUCAUUUAUUUAUUUAUUCUGUUUGGACCCCUGUCGUUUUCUCUCAGUGGCUUAAUGUGUGGCUGUUAUAUUGGUUCUCUGAGAAACACAGUCCUAGAAUUCAGUGGAAUGUCUAAUAAGUGAUUUUGCAUGUAAUGACGUUAUUGAUGUGAGGCUAUCCUUGGCACAUUGUAUAACAAAUCAGUGUUACCAUAGCGAUUGAAGUGCAAUCACAUAUGAAAAAACAGACUUGUAGGCCUCCUACGCGUUCAAGUCAGAUAUGUUUUCCAGGAAGAGAUUCAGGUGAAAAUAUCUUUUUUUCCAUUUCAGAUUAUAUACGUACACCGUUCACAGUGGGAAGAACGAGGAAUGUGUGUAUAUAUUUUAAUAAAGGAAUAUGCUUCCCUAGAGGCAGAACAGAAAUAUUUUGCUGGAUAAGCACAUAUGAAGGAGCGCUUUCAUUUUUCAGGAAAUGUAGAUCUAAUAUACAACAAAGAAUUGUGAGGGAACUGGGUUAUGUGUAAAGAAAAAACUUUCUACAUUCUACAAAAUAAGAGUCUAUUAUCGUGUGUACAAUAAAGUAAAAGUCAACUGUUUGUCCCAAUAUUCAGGGUGUAAAUGUAUUUUAACAUUCACUAAGAAAACCAUAGUCACACUUGAGGCUUAGGACAGACUUAACACAUGUCUGAUCAUGUUUGACCCAUGAUUAUAUAACAGAAAAAUAAGGACAUUUUGAACCUGAAUAUAUCCUAUCUGGACCAUGAAUAAUCCAUUGAAUGUCUUUCUAAUGAUUCUAUAUUUUCUUUUUUGUAACUCAGAAAGGGUUGGACAAUGUAAAACAAAAUGAAGAUGAAAUAUAUACAUGUUUCUUUUUGUCAUAGAGCUUGGAGAAAUCCACAGUCAUCUGUAGUCUGAGGAAUACCCCAUGCACUGCAUGGACCUAAUGCAUUGUGUCCUUUUUCACUGUGAGCUGACGGAACAGGUCAGCCUGGAAACUUAAUUGGGUUCUUUUUUAUUUUAGUUUUUGCAGGGUUUUGAUUUGAAGUCUCCUGAUUUCUUCAUGCUGUCCCAAGUUUAGGUUGGAGCUCAGCAUUCAUUUCAUCUACAUAUACACAGCCAUUGUAAAAACAACAAAACAUAAACAUCAAUGCACUUCUUUUAUUAUUGAGUCGAGGGCUUUAGUUGUGUAAAUAGGAGAAAAGUGUUGAUUGUGGAUUUCUGAAAAGGGUGAUUUAUCUAAAAUCAAGAUGAGAGGGGACCAAGAGAGAAUGAGGAUCUGUACAUAGUAUGUAUAUUGUCACUACCCCAAUCUAAUAUCUGCUGUGGAGAUCAGGGUGGUAUAUUCCUACCACUUCUUAUGGUUCAAUAUGAUUCUCAACAUAUCGCUUGUAAUGAACAGUCAACCUCCAACUGUAAUGUAACAGUCAUUCGCUUUGGAUCUCAAAGACAGACUGUUAUAACGUUCACUGCCUCCUACGAAACACAUGCACACACACGUUUCCUCUCAUCCCAUGCUGCAAGCUGUUCUGUCAGGCGUGAGACACACUUUUAAAAAGGGAACGAUAAGAGUGGCCUCAUUUCAGUGUGCAUUCAGUUUGUCCAGUGUGUAGCGAGUCAGUAAGACCCUGUUGUAAAACUUCAACUGUGACAAUGUCAAGAACGCUAAAUAAACAAAUAUGACUUAUGGUAUGAAUGUGUUGGUUUUUGGAUUCUAAUAUGCAAUGUAAGUCAUUCUUUUGUUGUAAUGUUUUGAUAGUGCUGUUUACUUCUUAAAUACGUGUUGCAUAUUUAUCAGCAAGGUUUAAAAAAAGAAAAGUGAAAAAUAAGGAACAUCGUGUGUGUUUGAUCUGUGUUAUGGUUAGUAAACUGGCAGCAAUACACAGCAUGACCACAAGAGGGCAGGCAUAUGAACAGAGGUGAAGGUGUCAGUGCAACAUAGUGGUUUACUUGGUUGUGCAGUCUAAAUUGUAUUGGGAGUUAAAUCUCAAGUUAGGCCAACCAAUACACAAAAUUCAUAUUAAUU
ensembl:lncRNA